GGUGAAACAACAACCACGUGUGUAUUAUUUACACAUACGUACAGCUAUAGAUUAGGUACCUGUGUGCAGUACCGGUAUGGUACCGAGCAUUUAUAGUUUAAUAAUAACAUAUUUUUAUUAAUGCAUGUACCUUAUAGCAUGAAAAAAUCAUUUAAUCGCAUUUGGUUCGCCUUUAAACGUGUGAAUUUUAAACCUUGAAAUUCCGACUGGGGAUCAGGAUUCAUAUAUAGUUUCGAGCACCCGGGAUCCUGGCAGUGACCAGUACGUCAUAAGUAACAGAGAGCGUGCAUGAAGUAGGACCAUACAAUGUGCACUCUCAUCAAAUGCGCUGUGAAGUUCACGCUGUCAACUCUAAAGUCACAUCGAUGCACCUUCUCAAAAACUCAGGCUUGUUAUCCCCUUCAUAUGGAGCCCACCAAUUCUCUAAGCUGAUGUGUCUAACUACUCAGUGCUCACAAGUGGUGGAGCUGUGCAAGCUUGUUCUUGGAGAGUUCAACAUUGACUGAUACAGGGGGUACAGUUCCAAUAACUUCAGUGUUAUCUGUCGCCGUAAACCAGUGUUCAACCAUUUUCAGCAAUACAGUUCCACAAGAGCGUAAGAGGGGCAAAAACCACAUUUAUUUUUGCUCAAUAAUUUAAAAUUUGAGAGAUACUCGUAUAAACAGUUAUGUAAAUGUCGUUCAGUGAUUUUUGAAAAACUGAGUAGGACAGAUAUUGGAUGAUAGUUUUCAACUUUGAACCCCUUUUGUGAAGAGGGAUAACCAUGUCUGGUCAUAACACAUUUGUUUAUUAGCAUGGUAAAAGAUUUUGCAAUAAUAGGGGCAGAUGAUGAAAGAAAUUUAGAAUUGACAUUUAGAAUAUAGAAUUUUUGAAUUGAUCACUAGCCUUAUCUUUAUCAAGCCUUUAAAGGUAUUGUAAAACAGAAACAUACAACAUAUUUGGUAUGGAGUAAAAAGUAUCAUGAAGAACUUUUCCCUCAACUUGUUCCCUGAGUUUUUCAAGACUUUGAACAAAAUUGUCCUUGUUUAUAUUAUUAAUAUCUAUUAAAGAAUGGGGACAGUUGAGAAGAAAGUAUUGAAAAUAUGGAAAAUUUUAGCUGGAUCAUCUAUUAAAUUGCCAUCCUUCUCAGUCAUAGCCAAAUACUGCUUGCACAAACAGUGAUCUCCCUGAUAACACAGGACAAUGGCAUCUGUUACGCAAGUCAGGUUUCUAUAUAUGAAGUCCUGUAUGUCACUUGGAGUCUGUCAGUAGGCCUCUGUACACUCACUGUUUCACCUAGAUGCAAAGUCGUCCACAAAGCCAGUUUCCUGUCUUUCUUUCACUCCGCUGUCCUUGUGGGGAACACAUUGUCACAGAAUGCCAUCACUUUCACCCUGCUGCAAUGGCUUUUCCCCAAGUGGUGUGUCCAGAUGGUGCACUGACUCAGUGGUCCAUGGCUACUGCGUAUAAUGAACUGUCCGCAUCGGUUGUUAUGUGUUUCACCUUAUCUGUACUAUUGAUGCCUCAUUGUGCUUGACUAGACUGUCUCAAACUACAUUGCAAUGAGUGCAACAAACGGCAUGCAAGUUCAGCAUGUUCAGUAACUGACCCAUUUUCAUUGCUAGUGUAGGUUCAUUCCAACUAGCAGACAUUUUCAUUGUCUUUGCCUGCUUGGGGUCGCUGUGAGUUCAAGUCCAGCUCAUGCUGGCUUCCUCUCUGGCCGUAAGUGGGAAGGUCUGUCUGUCUUCCCCAAGGUUCUGCCCAGUUUCCACCCACCAUAAUGCUGGCUGUCAUCGUAUAAGUGAUGUAUUCUUGAGUACUGCGUAAAACACCAAUCAGAUAAAUUAAAUAAAUAAAUUUUUGCCUGAUAGUAUCUCCAUGGUACAACUUUCUACUUUUAGAAGAGAAGCCGCACUCAGCACAGGCAAACCUCUCUGUGACGCACACACCCCAAGGCACCUCGCUGUUCAAAUCUCAGUUCAGCCCUUCAGGACAGUAUGAUGUUGUGGUCCAGUGGUAGGCAAAUGCGGUAUUCUACAGCUCGGCGGUCUUUCCCAGGUGCAGCAGUCUGUAGGUGUUUUGCUCAGCUUUUGAUCUCUGGCAUUCAGCCUGCUGGUCUGCCAGCAAGCUGAAGAUGGUCGUGAGUUUUCCCCAAGCUUUGCCCGGUUUAAUACUGGCUAUCAUCAUUAGCUGUCUGGUUGAAUAACAAAUAUUCAUGAAUUUCAUCAUAUUUGGCCACUGUCCUAACAGAUUGACAACUCCAUUUUCUGAUAUGGUGGAACAGUUUGCACUGUCAUCGUUGUCUUCAUCUCAUUGAACUUCAAGCAAAAUGCAAGCCAUCAAUCCAGGACCUCCUACAGAAAUGCAUCCUACACCUUUCACAGACCUAAAUGUACUGUGUGCAGUAAUGCUCGAAUGACUAUACUCGGGAACGUCCAAAUAUGGAGAAGAGUAAACAUUAAUAACAUAUUUGUAAUAAUCAGCUCAUUACAUAUUAUUCUUGCUGAUAGUAUGAGUACAUCAAUGCAGAAAUUGCAAAGUUCUUGCCCACUUGUUAAAGUGAAGGUAGAAAGUGAUAAUAUUUAAAUUGUGUAAUAUAUAUUACAUAUAGGUGAAUGACUUAAAAUUUUACCCCAAAAGUUCAUUUUUAGAGGCAAAUAAAUGUUGUCAGAUAUACUUUUGGUGCGAUAACUUACCUAUUCCUUAGGAUAUCGUCCUACUUUCCAAACAAACCCCAAAACACCUUUAUAACAUUAAUAGAACUCUCAGAAUAAGACACAAGGUACAAUUUUUGUGAUGGUCCAAAUUUAAGGUCAUAUACCAUGAAUUUCCAAAGUACUUUAACUGCCUUAUCGGUGUAAAUGUUCAAAUAAUAUGUCUUUGUCCAUGUUCAUUUGUAAUAUUUUUUGGUUAAAUAAGUAUAAAUAAAG